CCACUGAAACCUGGGAGGCAAAACAGAGCCUGGACAACCCCUGCAAAGUGACUCUGAGGAGGACGACAAGCCCUGCUCCAGUCACACCCGGAAGCUGACUGGUCCACGCACAGCCGAAGCAUGAGGAGAAUCAUCAUGAGACUCAUUUUCCUUAUAAUUUGGACUUGUAUAGUAAAAACUUCCACUGAUUUUCCCUGCAUGGAGACUGCUCUCAGUGUAUACAUCAGGUUACCGAGAUUUCUGGCUUUCUUAUGGUUCCCUGAGGUCUCUGUAGCGACCCAUCUGGCACUUCGGAUGCUUCUCUGCCAUCAACAUUGCCAAAAAUAAUUCAGCCUCUGAAAUUUAUCACUGAGGAACAAAUGAGAUGAUUUCACUUACCUAUGUGGCCCUUCUCUAAAAAUGUUCAUAGUUAGUUCAUGCCAGAUGCAGUUUGUGUCUCAGAAUGUCCAUGUGCCCUCUUCACAACCAUGGUUAGCCCCAAGCUGAAUGUGAGCCGAGCCAAGGAUGGGGAGCCUUUCUUCUCUGCCUCUCUUCCAGCUACUACUUCCCACCCCAAAGAAUCCCAGUCUUCUCACCAACUCUGCACUCCUUCAGGGCUCUACAAGUUAAUGGAAAAUUAAAUGACAACAAUACCAACAGCUUGCCAUAUAAAAUCAUUUCUGGAAUGAGGUAAAAUAUGAGUUAAUGAAAGAAUAAAGCCAAAUAAAUAAAUAAAAUUGCUGUUUUGAGAUAUCAGUGCUCAUUUUGGCUCAUAUGUUAUUCUUCUUAUACAACUUUUAAAUUUCCCUAAGAAUUUUGAGUAAAUUCAGACAAAUCUAAUAUGCUCAUGAAUGAGCUGGUUUGGGGAAGAGGGGACUUUUGGUACAAGAGAGGCUGUGCACAUCCAAACUCUGAGAGCCCUGUCCUAAGUCACUGUUGCACUUCCUUGUGUGAACUCUC
rnacentral:lncRNA from 10 species